CAAUAAAGCGGGACAAUUUCGUGCCAACUAAAUAUAGUAAGGUCUGUGCUAAACAUUUUCCAGAAAAUCAGUUUUUAACUGUUAGAGAAGCGUUUAAUACCAGUACAGGAGAACUUAUUCAAGUACCAAUGGAGUAUAAAAGGCUUGUACCUGGUGCUGUACCUUCAAUUUUCCCUAAUUUACCCUCAUAUUUUUCCUCGGAAUCAAAAGCAAGAAGAGAAACUCCAAUGGAUAGGGCAACACGUAAGGAUAUGGAAAACUUAAAAGCAGCUUUAAAUAGCAGUCUCCAGGACAUAGCAAAAAAA